AGAGUUCGAUCCUGGCUCAGGAUGAACGCUGGCGGCGCGCCUAACACAUGCAAGUCGAACGGCACCUAUCUUCGGAUAGAAGCGAGUGGCGAACGGCUGAGUAACACGUGGAGAACCUGCCCCCUCCCCCGGGAUAGCCGCCCGAAAGGACGGGUAAUACCGGAUACCCCGGGGUGCCGCAUGGCACCCCGGCUAAAGCCCCGACGGGAGGGGAUGGCUCCGCGGCCCAUCAGGUAGACGGCGGGGUGACGGCCCACCGUGCCGACAACGGGUAGCCGGGUUGAGAGACCGACCGGCCAGAUUGGGACUGAGACACGGCCCAGACUCCUACGGGAGGCAGCAGUGGGGAAUCUUGCGCAAUGGGGGGAACCCUGACGCAGCGACGCCGCGUGCGGGACGGAGGCCUUCGGGUCGUAAACCGCUUUCAGCAGGGAAGAGUCAAGACUGUACCUGCAGAAGAAGCCCCGGCUAACUACGUGCCAGCAGCCGCGGUAAUACGUAGGGGGCGAGCGUUAUCCGGAUUCAUUGGGCGUAAAGCGCGCGUAGGCGGCCCGGCAGGCCGGGGGUCGAAGCGGGGGGCUCAACCCCCCGAAGCCCCCGGAACCUCCGCGGCUUGGGUCCGGUAGGGGAGGGUGGAACACCCGGUGUAGCGGUGGAAUGCGCAGAUAUCGGGUGGAACACCGGUGGCGAAGGCGGCCCUCUGGGCCGAGACCGACGCUGAGGCGCGAAAGCUGGGGGAGCGAACAGGAUUAGAUACCCUGGUAGUCCCAGCCGUAAACGAUGGACGCUAGGUGUGGGGGGACGAUCCCCCCGUGCCGCAGCCAACGCAUUAAGCGUCCCGCCUGGGGAGUACGGCCGCAAGGCUAAAACUCAAAGGAAUUGACGGGGGCCCGCACAAGCGGCGGAGCAUGCGGAUUAAUUCGAUGCAACGCGAAGAACCUUACCUGGGUUUGACAUGGACUGGGAGUGCUCAGAGAUGGGUACGCCUCCUUGUGGGGCUGGUUCACAGGUGGUGCAUGGCUGUCGUCAGCUCGUGUCGUGAGAUGUUGGGUUAAGUCCCGCAACGAGCGCAACCCCCGCCGCGUGUUGCCAUCGGGUGAUGCCGGGAACCCACGCGGGACCGCCGCCGUCAAGGCGGAGGAGGGCGGGGACGACGUCAAGUCAUCAUGCCCCUUAUGCCCUGGGCUGCACACGUGCUACAAUGGCCGGUACAGAGGGAUGCCACCCCGCGAGGGGGAGCGGAUCCCGGAAAGCCGGCCCCAGUUCGGAUUGGGGGCUGCAACCCGCCCCCAUGAAGUCGGAGUUGCUAGUAAUCGCGGAUCAGCAUGCCGCGGUGAAUGCGUUCCCGGGCCUUGUACACACCGCCCGUCACACCACCCGAGUCGUCUGCACCCGAAGUCGCCGGCCCAACCGCAAGGGGGGAGGCGCCGAAGGUGUGGAGGGGGAGGGGGGUGAAGUCGUAACAAGGUAGCCGUACCGGAAGGUGCGGCUG
rnacentral:rRNA from 1 species